AACGAACGCUGGCGGCAUGCCUAACACAUGCAAGUCGAACGAGACCUUCGGGUCUAGUGGCGCACGGGUGCGUAACGCGUGGGAACCUGCCCUUAGGUUCGGAAUAACUCCCCGAAAGGGGUGCUAAUACCGGAUAAUGUCUUCGGACCACAGAUUUAUCGACUUGGGAUGGGCCCGCGUUGGAUUAGCUAGUUGGUAGGGUAAAAGCCUACCAAGGCGACGAUCCAUAGCUGGUCUGAGAGGAUGAUCAGCCACACUGGGACUGGGACACGGCCCAGACUCCUGCGGGAGGCAGCAGUGGGGAAUAUUGGACAAUGGGCGGAAGGCUGAUCCAGCUAUGCCGCGUGAGUGAUGAAGGCCUUAGGGUUGUAAAGCUCUUUUACCCGGGAUGAUAAUGACAGUACCGGGAGAAUAAGCACCGGCUAACUCCGUG
rnacentral:rRNA from 1 species